GACGUAGGGCGCGAGCGUUGUCCGGAAUUAUUGGGCGUAAAGAGCUCGUAGGCGGUUUGUCGCGUCUGCUGUGAAAACCCAGGGCUUAACCCUGGGCCUGCAGUGGGUACGGGCAAACUAGAGUGCGGUAGGGGAGAUCGGAAUUCCUGGUGUAGCGGUGAAAUGCGCAGAUAUCAGGAGGAACACCGGUGGCGAAGGCGGAUCUCUGGGCCGUAACUGACGCUGAGGAGCGAAAGCAUGGGUAGCGAACAGG
rnacentral:rRNA from 1 species